rnacentral:rRNA from 1 species
GAUGAACGCUGGCGGCGUGCCUAAUACAUGCCAGUCGAGCGAACAGACGAGGAGCUUGCUCCUCUGACGUUAGCGGCGGACGGGUGAGUAACAGGUGGAUAACCUACCUAUAAGACUGGGAUAACUUCGGGAAACCGGAGCUAAUACCGGAUAAUAUAUUGAACCGCAUGGUUCAAUAGUGAAAGACGGUUUUGCUGUCACUUAUAGAUGGAUCCGCGCCGCAUUAGCUAGUUGGUAAGGUAACGGCUUAGCAAGGCAACGAUGCGUAGCCGACCUGAGAGGGUGAUCGGCCACACUGGAACUGAGACACGGUCCAGACUCCUACGGGAGGCAGCAGUAGGGAAUCUUCCGCAAUGGGCGAAAGCUUGACGGAGCAACGCCGCGUGAGUGAUGAAGGUCUUCGGAUCGUAAAACUCUGUUAUUAGGGAAGAACAAAUGUGUAAGUAACUAUGCACGUCUUGACGGUACCUAAUCAGAAAGCCACGGCUAACUACGUG